UCGCUCCUACCGAUUGAAUGAUCCGGUGAAAUCUUCGGACUGGGGUUCAAGGUUGGGGAAACCCGCUAAGAUCUCUGGGAAGUUGAUUAAACCUUAUCAUUUAGAGGAAGGAG
rnacentral:rRNA from 1 species